rnacentral:rRNA from 1 species
UACGUAGGGACCAAGCGUUGUUCGGAUUUACUGGGCGUAAAGGGCGCGUAGGCGGCCUGAUAAGUAGGGGGUGAAAUCCUGCGGCUUAACCGCAGGGCUGCCUUCUAAACUGUCAGGCUCGAGCACAGUAGAGGCAGGUGGAAUUCCCGGUGUAGCGGUGGAAUGCGUAGAGAUCGGGAAGAACAUCAGUGGCGAAGGCGGCCUGCUGGGCUGUUGCUGACGCUGAGGCGCGACAGCGUGGGGAGCAACAGG